rnacentral:rRNA from 1 species
UACGAAGGGGGGCUAGCGUUGCUCGGAAUCACUGGGCGUAAAGGGUGCGUAGGCGGGUCUUUUAAGUCAGGGGGUGAAAUCCUGGAGCUCAACUCCAGAACUGCCUUUGAUACUGAAGAUCUUGAGUUCGGGAGAGGUGAGUGGAACUGCGAGUGUAGAGGUGAAAUUCGUAGAUAUUCGCAAGAACACCAGUGGCGAAGGCGGCUCACUGGCCCGAUACUGACGCUGAGGCACGAAAGCGUGGGGAGCAAAGCAG